rnacentral:miRNA from 1 species
GAGACACAUUCCAGCCAAUCAGCAGCAGACCCUCCCUCCCAGACCCUCCCACCUCCUGGACAGCUCACUAAGAAUGCAGCUUCACAAUGAAUGUAAAAUGGAUGCUGUCCAGGAGGUGGGAGGGUUUGGGAGGGAGGGUCUGCUGCUGAUUGGCUGGAAUGUGUCU